CUCAGCUGGGUCCUUUGCUUGGGGUUUCACGAGGCUACAAUGAAGGUAUUUGCCACACUGCAACUUUACCUGGAGCACAGGGUUCUCUGUCAAGGCUACUAGUUGUUGGCAAAAUUAAUUGCCUUUCAGACGUGGGUACCCUUUUUCUUGCUGGAUCCACCAGGGUCAUUCUCAGUUCCCGGGGCCACACCUCUCCAUCAGCGGUUCAGAACACCUGUUUUCUUCCUUGGGGGCAGCAGGAACACCUCUCUUUCUGACUUCUGUUUUUAAAGAGCUUGUCUGAUUAGAUCAGGCUCAUUCAAAAAUAAUCUUCCUUUUGGUAACUCAAAGGCAACUGACUAGUAGCUUAAUUAUAAUCAUGCAGGGCAUGUAACAUGGGAGGAACAGAAUUUGGGGGUGGGGAACAUUUUAGAAGUCUGUCUAAAAUGCUCAGUGUUUUCAUGAACACUGGAAGGUUGGCACAAGAUGAGGAAGAAAAUUGCAACAUGUCCUUCUGGGAGGUAAACCUGACCUCUCAUGUUUUCUCCUCCCUCCUUGCUUCUGCCUUUUAAGGACUCAUUCUUCUCUAGGAAGGGAAACUGGAGGAGGAUUCAUUGGUCCUUGCUAUUCAGAAAGCUGUGGCCUGAGUUUUUCUAUUGCCAAGCCAAAUAUGAGCUCCAUACAGGAACAAGGGAAAGAAUCCUGGUUGACAGAAAGAGAUGUAACAGGAAGCGUGUGCCAGGUAAGUGAAGGAUGAUUAAGAACAAUAUUGGCCUAGGAUGAUUAAGAACAAUAUUGGCCUAUAGGUAAUGGUCAAGAAGGUCAGCAAGUUGGAGCUCCUUUGAGACAAUGCCUGGGAAGGUCCUGUAGCAAUCCCUAGUGUUCAGAUUAGAGCAUUACUCCCAUCAGCGUGAGCUCCUGGGGGGGCCUCUCUUGUACUCACAUGGACCACUCCCUGUGCCUGCCUCCAUUCUUUUUUUAAAUGUAUAUUUUUAAAUUGGAGUUUGAUUUGCCAACAUACAGUAUAACACCCAGUACUCAUCCCGUCAAGUGCUCCCCUCAGUGCCU
rnacentral:lncRNA from 1 species